UAGUCUUGGAAUUUUGCUUACUCAUAUUUGG
rnacentral:piRNA from 1 species